GAUGAAGAACGUAGCGAAAUGCGAUAAGUAAUGUGAAUUGCAGAAUUCAGUGAAUCAUCGAAUCUUUGAACGCACAUUGCGCCCGUCAGUAUUCUGGCGGGCAUGCCUUUUCGAGCGUCAUUACGCCCCUCAAGUCCCCUGUGGACUUGGUGUUGGGGAUCGGCGAGGCUGGUUUUCCAGCACAGCCGUCCCUUAAAUUAAUUGGCGGUCUCGCCGUGGCCCUCCUCUGCGCAGUAGUAAAACACUCGCAACAGGAGCCCGGCGCGGUCCACUGCCGUAAAACCCCCCAACUUUUUAUAGUUGACCUCGAAUCAGGUAGGACUACCCGCUGAACUUAAGCAUAUCAAUAAGCGGAGGA
rnacentral:misc_RNA from 1 species